UACGGAGGGGGCGAGCGUUGUUCGGAAUUACUGGGCGUAAAGGGCGCGUAGGCGGCCAACUAAGUCAGACGUGAAAUCCCUCGGCUCAACCGGGGAACUGCGUCUGAUACUGGAUGGCUUGAAUUCGGGAGAGGGAUGCGGAAUUCCAGGUGUAGCGGUGAAAUGCGUAGAUAUCUGGAGGAACACCGGUGGCGAAGGCGGCAUCCUGGACCGAGAUUGACGCUGAUGCGCGAAAGCCAGGGGAGCAAACGGG
rnacentral:rRNA from 1 species